CGCCUGUUUAUCAAAAACAUGUCUUUUAGAGUUUAUUAAAAGUCAAACCUGCUCAAUGAUAAUUUUUAAAUAGCCGCAGUAUUUUAACUAUACAAAGGUAGCAUAAUCAUUAGUCUUUUAAUUGAGGUCUGGAAUGAAUGGUUAAACGAGAAAUAAACUUUAUUUUUUAAAUUAUUUUGAAUUUUUUUUUAUAGUAAAAAAACUAUAAUUUGUAAGUGGGACGAUAAGACCCUAUAGAUCUUUAUAAAUUAAAAGUUUAUUUUUUUUUUGAAUUAUUUUUAUAUUAAAUUUUUAAUUUAUUUUGUUGGGGUGAUAAAUAAAAUUUUAAACUUUUUUUUUUUUUUACAUUUAUAAAUGAUUAAUUUGAUCCUUUAAUAUUGAAAAUAAGAUCCAGAUACCUUAGGGAUAACAGCGUUAUAUAUUUGGAGAGUUCAAAUUGAUAAAUAUGUUUGCGACCUCGAUGUUGGAUUAAAAUUUAAUUGUGGGGUAGGUUUUACAAGUUUAGGUCUGUUCGACUUUAAAAUUUUACAUGAUCUGAGUUCAGACCGG
rnacentral:rRNA from 1 species